UUGGGAAUCUUGCACAAUGGGGGCAACCCUGAUGCAGCGACGCCGCGUGGAGGAUGAAGGGUCUAGGCCUGUAAACUCCUUUUCUCGGGAAAGACUUAGGACGGUACCCGAGGAAUAAGCCCCGGCUAACUACGUGCCAGCAGCCGCGGUAAGACGUAGGGGGCGAGCGUUGUCCGGAUUUACUGGGCGUAAAGCGCGCGUAGGCGGUCCGUUAAGUGCACAAGUGAAAGCUCCAGGCUCAACUUGGAAAUUGCUUUGCAUACUGGCGGGCUGGAGGGACGCAGAGGUCUGUGGAAUUCCUGGUGUAACGGUGAAAUGUGUUGAUAUCAGGAGGAACACCCAUGGCGAAGGCAGCAGACUGGGCGUUUCCUGACGCUGAGGCGCGAAAGCGUGGGUAGCAAACA
rnacentral:rRNA from 1 species